rnacentral:rRNA from 1 species
GACGAACGCUGGCGGCGUGCCUAAUACAUGCAAGUAGAACGCAGUUGCGAACGGGUGAGUAACGCGUAGGUAACUGCCUCCUAGAGGGGGAUAACUAUUGGAAACGAUAGCUAAUACCACAUACUGUGAGAUGGACCUGCGUUGUAUUCGCUAGUUGGUGAGGUAAAGGCUCACCAAGGCGACGAUAAAUAGCCGGCCUGAGAGGGUGAUCGGCCACACUGGGACUGAGACACGGCCCAGACUCCUACGGGAGGCAGCAGUAGGGAAUCUUCGGCAAGGGACGGAAGUCUGACCGAGCAACGCCGCGUGAGUGAAGAAGGUUUUCGGAUCGUAAAGCUCUGUUGUUAGGGAAGCGGUAACGAACCAGAAAGGGACGGCUAACUACGUGCCAGCAGCCGCGGUAAUUC